rnacentral:rRNA from 1 species
AUUGAACGCUGGCGGCAUGCCUUACACAUGCAAGUCGAACGGCAGCACGGGUGCUUGCACCUGGUGGCGAGUGGCGAACGGGUGAGUAAUAUAUCGGAACGUACCUUAUUGUGGGGGAUAACGCAGCGAAAGCUGUGCUAAUACCGCAUAAUCCCUAAGGGGGAAAGCGGGGGACCGUAAGGCCUCGCGCAAUUAGAGCGGCCGAUACCUGAUUAGCUAGUUGGUGAGGUAAAGGCUCACCAAGGCAACGAUCAGUAGCUGGUCUGAGAGGACGGUCAGCCACUCGGGGACUGAGACACGGCCCCGACUCCUACGGGAGGCAGCAGUGGGGAAUUUUGGACAAUGGGGGCAACCCUGAUCCAGCAAUGCCGCGUGAGUGAAGAAGGCCUUCGGGUUGUAAAGCUCUUUUGUCAGGGAAGAAACAGCAGCUCUAACACAGUUUGCGAAUGACGGUACCUGAAGAAUAAGCACCGGCUAACUACGUGCCAGCCGCCGCCGUAA